GCCUCAUGAAUCCGUUGUUUAUAGAAGGUAACUACUAUAACCUUAUUUAAACUAUUCUUCACUUCCUCAAAGUGAACUUCCGUCGACAGCUUUUCCUCGAAUUUACGAAAUUCUUCUUCUGAUGAUAUUUUUGUUCCAGAUCCUGAAUCUGCGUUUGCAGCCGCUGCGCUUGAGGUCGGAGAUGAUGGGACGACGAUAUUAUCUAUAAAAUAAUCCAGUUGGCAUUUUACUGUUCCAAUUGCAUUUGUCAGCUUCCAAAUUUUUUUUGUCGUGCUCCUGCAUUCCUAAUUGUAUUUCAUUCAUCAUUCUUAACACCUUGUCAAUUUUUCCAUUGAGUGAAGCCAGUGUUAUCUCUGGAUUUUCGCUAACCUGGUUUUCCAUCGCUGAUAUGGCUAUGGUUUAAAAAUUAGUUGUUUUAAAAUUCAUUCGGCCACAAAGUCAUUCUAUCAUUUUAUUUACCUUUUUUUCACUUUUUUCUAGCUCCAAGCUCCAAGGCGUGCGAGAAUAAUUUUUUGCUCCAAUCAGUCCAAAAAACGAAGACCAAAUAAAAUUUUCCAUCGUCUUGAAACCCAUA